rnacentral:rRNA from 1 species
UACCCGCAGCACAAGUGGUGGUCAUUAUUAUUGGGCCUAAAGCGUCCGUAGCUGGCUUGUUAGAUGCCUGGGUAAAUCGAUGCGCUCAACGUAUCGAAUUCCGGGUAGACCGGCAAGCUCGAGACCGGGAGAGGUGUAGGCUACUCGAGGGGUAGGGGUAAAAUCCUGUAAUCCUUCGGGGAGGACCAGUGGCGAAGGCGCUACACUAGAACGGCUCUGACAGUGAGGGACGAAGCCCUGGGGCGCAAACAGG